GAUGAAGAACGUAGCGAAAUGCGAUAAGUAAUGUGAAUUGCAGAAUUCAGUGAAUCAUCGAAUCUUUGAACGCACCUUGCGCCCUUUGGCUAUUCUGAAGGGCAUGCCUGUUUGAGUAUCAUGAACACCUCAACUCUCAUGGUCCGCCAUGAUGAGCUUGGACUAUGGGGGUCUUGCCGGCCUAGCGUCGGCUCCUCUCAAAUGGAUCAGCUUCCCAGUGUUUGGUGGCGUCACAGGUGUGAUAACUAUCUACGCUUGUGGUAUUCCGCCAUUAACCUUCAGCAAUGGAGGUUCGCUGGAGCUCACAGACGUCUUUCCUUGGGGAGGACAGCUUCUUGAAUGUCUGAUCUCAAAUCAGGUAGGACUACCCGCUGAACUUAAGCAUAUCAAUAAGCGGAGA
rnacentral:misc_RNA from 1 species